CCUGUCAAACGCGUGCAUUUCACUUAUCAACAUAAAUGUGGUUGUGACUUUUUAGGGGUGUAAUUAUUUCAAUUUUUAACAGUUUAGGGGGGUGAUAGGACCCCCGUGAAAUUCAAGUGUGUAGUUGGAAAUUCGAGUAUAGAUUAGGGGGACAUUUGACCAUUUUCUCGUGUACACACUACCCUGCCCAGACCACACUUGUGGGAUUACAUCGGGUAUGUUGUUGACUUUCAUAAGCUAAUUUUUACGACAAUUUUUUUCUUGAAAAACAAGCUAAGUUUAGGGCGAAAAUUACCGAAGGAAAAUGAAGAUAAUUACUAGAAUACAUGUGUAGAGAAAGUGUUUCUGGGAACGUGGCUGAUGGAGAAAGUGGUGGCUACAAGAGAGGAGGAGAAAAAAGAGAGAAGAAUAGGAAAAAAGGAGAACUAAAGGAGAAAAAAGAGAUAUUUUUGUGCUAAAUAUUGUAUGCUUCGAUCUCUAUUGCUUCGAAAGAAAUUUUGGCCAAUUAGCCAUUGCUGAAUUUAUCUUUUCAACUGUUCAGUUCAAUUCCUCUUAAUUUGAAAAUGAUAUAGUUUUACAAUAGUUUCCUAAUUAUCUCCUUUUUCUCCUACUUUAUGCUUGCCAUCUGCAGGAAGCAAUUCACUUUGCUUGGAAUUUUUCACUACCGGAAAGAAAGCCCUCUUUAGUACAUUCACUAUUAGCUGACAUUUGCUCUAUUUUGGGGAUUCUCUAUUUUUUUCCUUGGUUUUUGCUUGUUCAAGAUGUGACAUGUCUUCUUUGAGACUUCACAUUGACUGAUGAGCUUAGCGGGAGCAAUAUUUUUUUUAUUUGGAUGAGAGAUGGAAGAGGAGUAUAGUGAGAAUGCCCCAUUCUCUGUUGAGGAUUUGAUGCACAACGAUCCUUUGCUUGCACGGUUGCAGCAGUGUCACAAGAGGGUAUUUUGCACCGAGAUAUUAUGGGAUUUGCUUUGUUGAUUGACAAAUAUGGGAUGCUAAAAAUCACUGAUUCUAGGUUCGCAAAUUACUUCAAUCCUGUAAAAGAGCAUCCUCUGUCAAGUCAAGUUGUCACAUUUUGGUAAAGACCUUCAGAACUUCUACUAAGUGCUAUAGAUUAUGGAAUACAUAUUGAUCUUUGAAGUGCAGGUCGCCUCAUGGCUGAAAUGUUUGUAGGCUAGCCAAUUCUGCUUGGUCGUACUAAAGCUUUGACAUUUUCUUUCCAUUUAGUAAACUUAAUUUUGUCUGCAAUGAUAUAUAGAUCAUUGAUAUUUGAAGUCCCUAAUAGUGUAAAAUACUCAUCCAUGAAUUUGGCUUACAUUGCAGGAAAAGCUAGAUGGACUAUGACUGGAGUUCCGGGUGUGGUAAAGGAAAAGGCAAUAAAAAUAUUCAUUAGUGAGAGGUGUUAUGUCCCUUUUCAAUUCGGAGGACAGAUGAGAAUGCGCUUAGUGAAGUUCAAGAAGUGCUUUAUCAUGUACAUCAUAAGAAUCUAUAUGAUCAAGACCAAAGUGCUGCAGAAAUGCUCCAACAGUGACAUUCUAUGGACUGCUUCAAUUGGAUGGUGCCUCAUCACAGUCCAUACGUAUGGACAAUUUUAGACAAAUAAUUACUUUAGAUUGAAAGAGACUUUCCAUUAAACCAUAGAGAUAUUUAGUUUCUAUACUCAAGUUUGCAUAUGACAAAUUCCUUUGUGUAUGCUGUUAAAAAUAACUAUGUAAAAAUAAUUAUGUUGAGACCGUGCUCAGCACGG